rnacentral:lncRNA from 13 species
UACACAAAUAGCAACCACCACUGCAGAGCCUGCCAUAUUACAUUCUGGAGUGGCGGAAGUCCAGCACGUGCAGCCCAUCAAGCGGCGCAAAGGUUUGGCUGGCCGCGCCAGGAGCUGGUUAAAAAAAAAAUGGAGGCAUAAGAAAAUUUGCCCCAUUGAAAAUGAAGCUCCUGUUCAAGAACCAAAGGAAUGCAAAACUGAAAAGUUUCAGGAGACAUCACCUGACAUAGAAAAUGCUACAGAUGAAUAUCAACACACUCCUGUUGAUGACUCAGAGGAGUGUACACAUGGCAUUAAGAAGAAAGAGGUUGCCUCUGACAUGGAGAAGCCUGCAGCCCAGUAUCACAACCGUCCUGCUAAGGUCUUACAAGACCUCAUCAUAGAAGACAUUGAGGAUGAUGAGCUGUUCCCUGAUGUGGUAAGAUGCAUUUCUUUGUCUCAAAGAGAAAUUUUUAUUUCUGGGGCC